AAGUUGUCCCCCUUUAAUUAUUUUCCAUUUCAUUUUAUAUUUUUAAAAAUCCUUUCAUUUAUUUUUCUUUAUUUUUUUCUUUUGAAAAUUCCUUUCCCCAUUGUCUUCAUCUACAUGUUGCAACGUUUUUUCUUUUUUCUUUUUCAUUUCGCCAUCUCUACCUGACCUUUUCAUUUUUUUCCUUCAAAGCGCCCUUAAAUUUUCCCUCAUUUUCUUACCAUCCAAUCACCACAAAAAUCCCCCUUUUCAUUUGCUUUUCUGAAAUGGGUCUAAAUCAAUUUUCUUAGAACCAGUAAAAAUCUCAAAAAAUAUGUCAAGUAUGUCAAGAUUCAAAUCAAGACAGUUGUUGUGGACUUCACUGGCGAUCUUGAUGAAGGCGUGAAGAAAAAUAAAAGAAACUAUUGAAGGACUGGACGUGGGGAUUUUGAUUAACAAGUUGGGAUUUCAACAAAAGAACCUAAAAACCAAAAUCCCAUCAAGAAGUUCAACAUACCCAUGAGUUCUCAACAGUCUCCUUUGUUGGGUAGUGGCGCAAACCGAAAGUAGAGACAAGAGACUCGCUCUUCUAAUCCUCACUGGUUAGCCUUUUUUUAACCCAUCAAGUGCGAAAUUAACUUCGUCAAUGUGCUCCAUCAUUUCCCCGAAUUCUUAAGCCUCCAUUAGACUCCAAGUCGGCGAAAUCCAUGGCAUAGAAGAAUACCCUACCUCAUUCUUGCUUUGGUAUUGCUUCUGUUUCUUGGAUCUUUUAACGACGUUGUUUCUUGGAUCUUCGAAUUUGAAACUUCUUUGGGUUGGUUUAAUGAAUGCUUUUAUUUGGUUCUUAAAUUUCACUGGCCAUUGCUAAUGUUGGUGCUACUGUUGCUAUCUUUAUUGUUGAGUAGCAUC
rnacentral:lncRNA from 1 species